rnacentral:rRNA from 1 species
GGGAGUUUUUAACUCAAGUGGCGGACGGGUGAGUAACACGUAAGAAUUUACCUUUAGGAGGGGGAUAACAACUGGAAACGGUUGCUAAUACCCCAUAUGCUUUCGAGUGAAAUGGAUUUUUCCGCCUAAAGAGGAGCUUGCGGCUGAUUAGCUUGUUGGUGAGGUAAUGGCUCACCAAGGCGACGAUCAGUAUCUGGUUUGAGAGGACGAUCAGACACACUGGAACUGAGACACGGUCCAGACUCCUACGGGAGGCAGCAGUGGGGAAUUUUCCGCAAUGGGCGAAAGCCUGACGGAGCAAUACCGCGUGAGGGAUGACGGCCUAUGGGUUGUAAACCUCUUUUUUCAGGGAGGAAUCAAUGACGUGUACCUGAAGAAUAAGCAUCGGCUAACUCCGUGCCAGCAGCCGCGGUAAGACGGAGGAUGCAAGUGUUAUCCGGAAUCACUGGGCGUAAAGCGUCUGUAGGUGGUCUAGUAAGUCAACUGUUAAAUCUUGAGGCUCAACUUCAAAAUCGCAGUCGAAACUAUUAGACUAGAGUAUAGUAGGGGUAAAGGGAAUUUCCAGUGGAGCGGUGAAAUGCGUAGAGAUUGGAAAGAACACCGAUGGCGAAGGCACUUUACUGGGCUAUUACUGACACUGAGAGACGAAAGCUAGGGUAGCAAAUGGGAUUAGAUACCCCAGUAGUCCUAGCCG